ACUACCCGCUGAACUUAAGCAUAUCAAUAAGCGGAGGAAAAGAAACCAACAGGGAUUGCCUCAGUAACGGCGAGUGAAGCGGCGAAAGCUCAAAUUUGAAAUCCCCCGGGAAUUGUAAUUUGAAGAGAUUUGGGUCCGGCCGGCGGGGGUUAAGUCCACUGGAAAGUGGCGCCACAGAGGGUGACAGCCCCGUGAACCCCUUCAACGCCUUCAUCCCAGAUCUCCAAGAGUCGAGUUGUUUGGGAAUGCAGCUCUAAGUGGGUGGUAAAUUCCAUCUAAAGCUAAAUACCGGCGAGAGACCGAUAGCGAACAAGUACAGUGAUGGAAAGAUGAAAAGCACUUUGAAAAGAGAGUGAAAAAGUACGUGAAAUUGUUGAAAGGGAAGGGCUUGCAAGCAGACACUUAACUGGGCCAGCAUCGGGGCGGCGGGGAGCAAAACCACCGGGGAAUGUACCUUUCGAGGAUUAUAACCCCGGCCCUUACUCCCAUACUGCCCCGAGGCCUGCAAUCUAAGGAU
rnacentral:rRNA from 1 species